ACCAAUCAUUGGACUACCUAAACUUCAGUAUUAGCGUCUUGGGUUAAGGGAGGUGGAAUGAAACGUCAGAAAAGUUUACCUUUUUAAUUUUAGAGGCUAACACGUCUUUGCUCAUUCUUGCCGCAGAGUUAAUCAGGACGUGGCAACGUGGGAGUAUUUUUAUUUAAGGAUGAGUACUAUAUCAAUGAUUAAUUGACGUGACUGCUUAAAUGUUAAGGGUGCGGCACAAAUGUACGCUUUAAAAUGUUUCAAAUGGUUUUCAUAUUCAUUUGGAGGUACGCUAUGAAAAUCAUUUUAACUCUAGCCUUCUGUUUUCCGGCACUGAAUUUUAUUGGUCCUUUGUGGACAGAAUGCGGUAUGAAUCAAUUUAAAGGAGCGGUGACACGCAGUUUACGUUUCCCACCUAUUGCAAAAAUUCUGUUUUGCCCUUACAACACUGCUGUGUCUCAAGACCCCCAUUGCGCUGGACUGGCCCUUAAGGUCCAUUACCUUCAAUGCAAGUCAGUACUCGCAUUCUCUAAACAAUUGUAGCAGAACAUGGAAGAAAACAGCAAAAAUUACUUUGUGUGGUUCCUUUUUCAAACAAAAGACAGUGUUGUGGGCCGGACGAAUUAUGGUUGGCAAGGCAUAAUUGUGACAAAAGCUUGAACUUAACUCUUGCAGGAUUCAGAGGAACAGAGGACUAACUGGAAGUGGAAUAAUGUGGUGGGAUCGUUUGAUGGUACCCUGAGAAAUUGUUUCAGAAUCAGCGAUUGAGUGCAGUCCCACCUCUCCCAUAAUAUACCUUCACUACUACAUGACGAUGAAGAUGAGGAUGGACUACUCUGUCAGGCUGAAACACUUUUCAGUAUUUCAAAAGAAGUAGCAAUCUGAGAACUCCACAAGAAAACCUAAAAGACAAGGUGCAUUUACUUCAG